UAGUAAGUGAUACCAAGAAGAAGACGUUCAACCUGCUCCGUGAAUAUUUAACGGCCGCGGUAUACUGACCGUGCAAAGGUAGCAUAAUCAUUAGUCUUUUAAUAGGAGGCUGGAAUGAAUGGUUCGACGAAAAAUUUACUGUCUCAAUUAUAAAUUUGAAUUUAUCUUUUAAGUCAAAAGACUUAACUUUUGUUGAUGGACGAGAAGACCCUAUAGAGCUUUACACUUUCAUUUUUAUGAAUAUAUAGUUUAUAAUUUAUUCUUAAACUUUAAAUGUGUUAGGUUGGGGUGACAAUAAAUAUAUAUUUAACUUUUAUUAUUAUAUAAACAUUAAUUUAUGAUUUUUUGAUCCAAAAUUUUUGAUUAAUAGAUUAAGUUACCUUAGGGAUAACAGCGUUAUCUUCCCCCAGAGUUCUUAUUUACGGGAAGGUUUGCGACCUCGAUGUUGGAUUAAGAUAAUAAUUAGGUGUAGCAGCUUAAUUAAUAGGUCUGUUCGACCUUUAAAUUCUUACAUGAUCUGAGUUCAGACCGGUUUGAAGCAAGGUACGGGUGUUCU
rnacentral:rRNA from 1 species